ACUCAAUAGAUACCCGGGUAGUCCACGCCCUAAACGAUGUCGACUGGUUGUUGGGGGUUUGGUACACUCUCAGUAAACGAAAGCUAAACGCGUGAAGUCGACCGCCUGGGGAGUACGGCCGCAAGGUUAAAACUCAAAGGAAUUGACGGGGACCCGCACAAGCGGUGGAUUAUGUGGAUUAAUUCGAUGCAACGCGAAAAACCUUAACCUACCCUUGACAUGUCCUGAAUCCGCUGAGAGGUGGGAGUGCCCGAAACGGGAACGGGAACACAGGUGCUGCAUGGCUGUCGUCAGCUCGUGUCGUGAGAUGUUGGGUUAAGUCCCGCAACGAGCGCAACCCUUGUCAUUAGUUGCUACAUUCAGUUGGGCACUCUAAUGAGACUGCCGGUGACAAACCGGAGGAAGGUGGGGAUGGCGUCAAGUCCUCAUGGCCCUUAUGGGUAGGGCUUCACACGUAAUACAAUGGCGCGUACAGAGGGUUGCCAAGGGGUGACCUGGAGCCAAUCCCACAAAGCGCGUCGUAGUCCGGAUUGCAGUCUGCAACUCGACUGC
rnacentral:rRNA from 1 species